rnacentral:lncRNA from 1 species
CCAUCAGAUUCCAUAUCUAAAAUAAGAAAGUCUACUGGAAAGUAGAAUUCACCUACUUUGACAAGCACAUCCCUUAUCAUCCCAUACGGUACCUUAACAGAUCUAUCGGCUAAUUGUAGGGUAAUCAACAUGGAUUUCAAUUCUCCAAAAUCAAAGAGUUCGUACACUGAACUCGGGAGAAGGUUAACACUUGCCUCCAAAUCUAAUAGAGCUUUAUUAAUGGUCAGGUCCUCUAUUACGCACGAGAUGAUUGGGGU